GUCGUCGUGCAGCAUUGGCAGUGUGGUUAGCUGGUUGUGUGGUGAUAACAAUAAAAUAGUCACAACCACUAUCUUCACUGGCAACGUAACACGGCAAAA
rnacentral:pre_miRNA from 16 species